rnacentral:rRNA from 1 species
GUCUGCCUUGAAGAUCGGAGUGCUUGCACUCUGUGAAACAAGAUACAGGCUAGCGGCGGACGGGUGAGUAACACGUGGGUAACCUGCCCAAGAGAUCGGGAUAACACCUGGAAACAGAUGCUAAUACCGGAUAACAACAGAUGAUGCCUAUCAACUGUUUAAAAGAUGGUUCUGCUAUCACUCUUGGAUGGACCUGCGGUGCAUUAGCUAGUUGGUAGGGUAACGGCCUACCAAGGCGAUGAUGCAUAGCCGAGUUGAGAGACUGAUCGGCCACAUUGGGACUGAGACACGGCCCAAACUCCUACGGGAGGCAGCAGUAGGGAAUCUUCCACAAUGGACGCAAGUCUGAUGGAGCAACGCCGCGUGAGUGAAGAAGGGUUUCGGCUCGUAAAGCUCUGUUGUUGGUGAAGAAGGACGGGGGUAGUAACUGACCUUUGUUUGACGGUAAUCAAUUAGAAAGUCACGGCUAACUACGUGCCAGCAGCCGCGGUAAUACGUAGGUGGCAAGCGUUGUCCGGAUUUAUUGGGCGUAAAGCGAGUGCAGGCGGUUCGAUAAGUCUGAUGUGAAAGCCUUCGGCUCAACCGGAGAAUUGCAUCAGAAACUGUCGAGCUUGAGUACAGAAGAGGAGAGUGGAACUCCAUGUGUAGCGGUGAAAUGCGUAGAUAUAUGGAAGAACACCGGUGGCGAAGGCGGCUCUCUGGUCUGUUACUGACGCUGAAGCUCGAAAGCAUGGGUAGCG